AGUGUCUCCAGUGUAUGUGUGUGCACGUGCUUGAUUUCCACUCCUGAUGCUGCUGUCACUUCCCAGUCAGUCUGGCUGAUAAAAGGAAUACUUCCAGUUUCCUUCCACCAGCUGAGUCCCAAAAUAAUAAGACAAGGCAGUGGGUGCACUGAAGCUGUUCCUCAAAGACUUCAGAAGGUGACCAAUUCAUCCCCCUUCAUUGUGCAAUAGUCUUUGAAAGUAAAUGAGCACAAGAUCUCACCAACUCAAGUACAUAGAAAUGGCUAUAAAAUGUUGAGCAUGGACAGUGAAAAUGUGUCUAUUUUUGUCAGUGUGUAAAAUUCCAUGUCAGGAAGAAGUCCAUCUUGCCUUAUGGGGUGAGUUGUUAUAAUUGCUUAUAAUGAGAUAAAAGACUGUUUCAAAAAUAACUUCUGUCUCAUAAAUAAUAAAAAAUGUCUAAAUUUGUGUGACUACUCUCAAACUAACCUUACCUUCUUUCCCCAAAAAGAAAAGGGUAAAAUAUUUAUG